rnacentral:tRNA from 1 species
GGGGUCUUAGCUCAGCCGGGAGAGCGCCUGCUUUGCACGCAGGAGGUUCGGGAGUUCGAUCCUCCCAGGCUCCA